AAUAUUGCACAAUGGGGGAAACCCUGAUGCAGCAACGCCCCGUGAGCGAUGAAGGCCUUCGGGUCGUAAAGCUCUGUCCUUAGGGAAGAUAAUGAUGGUACGUCAGGAGGAAGCCCCGGCUAUCUACGUGCCAGACGCCGCGGUAAUACGUAGGGGGCAAGAGUUAUCCGGAAUCCUUGGGCGUAAAGGGUGCGUAGGCUGCCAUAUAGGUCAGAGGUCAAAGGCUACGGCUCAACCGUAGUAAGCCUUUGAAACUGUAGGGCUUGAGUGCAGGAGAGGAGAGUGGAAUUCCUAGUGUAGCGGUGAAAUGCGUAGAUAUUAGGAGGAACACCAGUGGCGAAGGCGACUCUCUGGACUGCAACUGACGCUGAGGCACGAAAGCGUGGGUAGCGAACA
rnacentral:rRNA from 1 species